GAUGAACGCUGGCGGCGUGCUUAACACAUGCAAGUCGAACGAUGAAGCCCAGCUUGCUGGGUGGAUUAGUGGCGAACGGGUGAGUAACACGUGAGUAACCUGCCCUUAACUCUGGGAUAAGCCUGGGAAACUGGGUCUAAUACCGGAUAGGAGCGUCCACCGCAUGGUGGGUGUUGGAAAGAUUUAUCGGUUUUGGGUGGACUCGCGGCCUAUCAGCUUGUUGGUGAGGUAAUGGCUCACCAAGGCGACGACGGGUAGCCGGCCUGAGAGGGUGACCGGCCACACUGGGACUGAGAGACGGCCCAGACUCCUACGGGAGGCAGCAGUGGGGAAUAUUGCACAAUGGGCGCAAGCCUGAUGCAGCGACGCCGCGUGAGGGAUGACGGCCUUCGGGUUGUAAACCUCUUUCAGUAGGGAAGAAGCGAAAGUGACGGUACCUGCAGAAGAAGCACCGGCUAACUACGUG
rnacentral:rRNA from 1 species